AGAGUUUGAUCCUGGCUCAGGAUGAACGCUAGCUACAGGCUUAACACAUGCAAGUCGAGGGGAAACGAUAUUGGAAGCUUGCUUCCGAUAGGCGUCGACCGGCGCACGGGUGAGUAACGCGUAUCCAACCUGCCCAUCACUUGGGGAUAACCUUGCGAAAGUAAGACUAAUACCCAAUGACGUCUCUAGAAGACAUCUGAAGGAGAUUAAAGAUUUAUCGGUGAUGGAUGGGGAUGCGUCUGAUUAGCUUGUUGGCGGGGUAACGGCCCACCAAGGCAACGAUCAGUAGGGGUUCUGAGAGGAAGGUCCCCCACAUUGGAACUGAGACACGGUCCAAACUCCUACGGGAGGCAGCAGUGAGGAAUAUUGGUCAAUGGGCGAGAGCCUGAACCAGCCAAGUAGCGUGCAGGAAGACGGCCCUAUGGGUUGUAAACUGCUUUUAUAAGGGAAUAAAGUUAGUCUCGUGAGACUUUUUGCAUGUACCUUAUGAAUAAGGACCGGCUAAUUCCGUGCCAGCAGCCGCGGUAAUACGGAAGGUCCGGGCGUUAUCCGGAUUUAUUGGGUUUAAAGGGAGCGUAGGCCGGAGAUUAAGCGUGUUGUGAAAUGUAGACGCUCAACGUCUGCACUGCAGCGCGAACUGGUUUCCUUGAGUACGCACAAAGUGGGCGGAAGUCGUGGUGUAGCGGUGAAAUGCUUAGAUAUCACGAAGAACUCCGAUUGCGAAGGCAGCUCACUGGAGCGCAACUGACGCUGAAGCUCGAAAGUGCGGGUAUCGAACAGGAUUAGAUACCCUGGUAGUCCGCACGGUAAACGAUGGAUGCCCGCUGUUGGUCUGAACAGGUCAGCGGCCAAGCGAAAGCAUUAAGCAUCCCACCUGGGGAGUACGCCGGCAACGGUGAAACUCAAAGGAAUCGACGGGGGCCCGCACAAGCAGUGGAUUAUGUGGUUUAAUUCGAAGCAACGCGAAGAACCUUACCAGGGCUUGACAUCCAACUAACGAAGCAGAGAUGCAUUAGGUGCCCUUCGGGGAAAGUUGAGACAGGUGGUGCAUGGUUGUCGUCAGCUCGUGUCGUGAGAUGUUGGGUUAAGUCCCGCAACGAGCGCAACCCCUAUUGUUAGUUGCUACGCAAGAGCACUCUAGCGAGACUGCCGUUGACAAAACGGAGGAAGGUGGGGACGACGUCAAAUCAUCAUGCCCCUUAUGUCCUGGGCUACACACGUAAUACAAUGGCGUCCAACAAAGGGAAGCAAAACCGCGAGGUAGAGCAAAUCCUCAAAAGACGUCUCAGUUCGGAUUGCAGGCUGCAACUCGCCUGUAUGAAGUCGGAAUUGCUAGUAAUCGUGGAUCAGCAUGCCACGGUGAAUACGUUCCCGGGCCUUGUACACACCGCCCGUCACACCAUGAGAGCCGGGAACACCCGAAGUCCGUAGUCUAACCGCAAGGAGGACGCGGCCGAAGGUGGGUUUGGUAAUUGGGGUGAAGUCGUAACAAGGUA
rnacentral:rRNA from 1 species